AUUUUAGAAGCUAAUAUUUUAUAGCGUUGGAUUUUUACUCCAGAAAAAGGGAUUUUCUCCUAAAGUA
rnacentral:tRNA from 1 species